UACGUAGGGUGCAAGCGUUGUCCGGAAUUAUUGGGCGUAAAGAGCUUGUAGGCGGUUUGUCGCGUCUGCUGUGAAAUUUCGGGGCUCAACCCCGAACUUGCAGUGGGUACGGGCAGGCUAGAGUGUGGUAGGGGAGACUGGAAUUCCUGGUGUAGCGGUGAAAUGCGCAGAUAUCAGGAGGAACACCGAUGGCGAAGGCAGGUCUCUAGGCCACUACUGACGCUGAGAAGCGAAAGCAUGGGGAGCGAACAGG
rnacentral:rRNA from 1 species